rnacentral:rRNA from 1 species
GGCCUACCAUGGUGGUAACGGGUAACGGGGAAUUAGGGUUCGAUUCCGGAGAGGGAGCCUGAGAAACGGCUACCACAUCCAAGGAAGGCAGCAGGCGCGCAAAUUACCCAAUCCCGACACGGGGAGGUAGUGACAAUAAAUAACAACACAGGGCUCUUUCGGGUCUUGUUAUUGGAAUGAGUACGAUUUAAAUCUCCUAACGAGGAACAAUUGGAGGGCAAGUCUGGUGCCAGCAGCCGUGGUAAUUCCAGCUCCAAUAGCGUAUAUUAAAGUUGUUGCAGUUAAAAAGCUCGUAGUUGAAUUUCAGGCCUGGCUGGGCGGUCCGCCCUUCGGGUGAGUACUGCCUGUGGUCGGGUCCUACCUUCUGGCGAAGCGUCAUGGCCUUAACCGGCCGUGGCGGGGAACCAGGACUUUUACUGUGAAAAAAUUAGAGUGUUCAAAGCAGGCAAUCGCUUGGAUACAUUAGCAUGGAAUAAUGGAAUAGGACAAUGGUUCUAUUUGUUGGUUUCUAGGACCGUUGUAAUGAUUAAUAGGGAUAGUUGGGGGCAUUAGUAUUCAAUUGUCAGAGGUGAAAUUCUUGGAUUUAUUGAAGACUAACUACUGCGAAAGCAUUUGCCAAGGAUGUUUUCAUUAAUCAAGAACGAAAGUUAGGGGAUCGAAGACGAUCAGAUACCGUCGUAGUCUUAACCAUAAACUAUGCCGACUAGGAAUCGGGCGAUGUUGAAAAAAUGACGCGCUCGGCACCUCAUGGGAAACCAAAGUGUUUGGGUUC